UUUUAGGUGAGAGAAAAAAAGGAGGAAAAUGUCUUUACCCAGAUGGUCGUAAAUCUCUGCAAUUCUUUACCCAAGAGAGCCAUGAAUUUUGAGGCAUUUAAGAUAUUUUAAACUGAGCCUAAUCUAUUUUUAGAUAAUAAGCCAGUGUUAAUAAAGAUAAGCAUGAA